GGAAUCUUCCACAAUGGGCGAAAGCCUGAUGGAGCGACGCCGCGUGGGGGAUGAAGGUUUUCGGAUCGUAAACCCCUUUUCUCAGGGAAGAGUAAGGACGGUACCUGAGGAAUAAGCAUCGGCUAACUACGUGCCAGCAGCCGCGGUAAUACGUAGGAUGCAAGCGUUGUCCGGAAUCACUGGGCGUAAAGGGUCCGUAGGCGGUUUGUUAAGUCUUCUGUGAAAGUUCAGGGCUCAACCCUGAGAUGUCGGAGGAUACUGGCAAACUCGAGACUGUCAGAGGCAAGUGGAAUUCCCGGGGUAGUGGUGAAAUGCGUAGAUAUCGGGAGGAACACCAGUGGCGAAAGCGGCUUGCUGGGACAGUUCUGACGCUGAGGGACGAAAGCGUGGGUAGCAAAC
rnacentral:rRNA from 1 species